rnacentral:tRNA from 1 species
GUCCCCGUAGUUCAAUGGAUAGAAUUACAGAUUCCGGUUCUGUCGAUAUGAGUUCGAAUCUCGUCGGGGACA